rnacentral:rRNA from 1 species
CCUACGGGAGGCUGCAGUGGGGAAUAUUGGACAAUGGGGGGAACCCUGAUCCAGCCAUGCCGCGUGUGUGAAGAAGGCCCUCGGGUUGUAAAGCACUUUCAGUGAGGAAGAACGCCUGGUGGUUAAUACCCAUCAGGAAAGACAUCACUCACAGAAGAAGCACCUGCUAACUCCGUGCCAGCAGCCGCGGUAAUACGGAGGGUGCGAGCGUUAAUCGGAAUUACUGGGCGUAAAGCGCGCGUAGGUGGCUUGAUAAGCCGGUUGUGAAAGCCCCGGGCUCAACCUGGGAACGGCAUCCGGAACUGUCAAGCUAGAGUGCAGGAGAGGAAGGUAGAAUUCCCGGUGUAGCGGUGAAAUGCGUAGAGAUCGGGAGGAAUACCAGUGGCGAAGGCGGCCUUCUGGACUGACACUGACACUGAGGUGCGAAAGCGUGGGUAGCAAACAGGAUUAGAUACCCUGGUAGUC